rnacentral:lncRNA from 1 species
UUGUUUUGCUCUUCAAUUUCCACAUGUCUGAUCUGUGGGUUUCUCUUAAAACAGUUUUCAAGUGAAGGCGUUCUGGUUUGAUGCUUGAACCCCCUUUUGUACUGCUUCGUCAGUUCUUUUUCUGUUAUGUGGAUGUGGAUAUUGUUUUUAGCAUCUCCCUGUGACAGGAGAUACAAAAUAAGUUUCUUAAGGUGGGGUUGUGUUGGUCAUUGAAUCCCAGCUCAUUGAAAUUUUUUGAUGGAUUAAGUAAUUUUGAGGUGUUUGAAAUACUCAAAGGAGUGGUACCUCUUCAGUUCUGCUGAUGCCGAAUCCAAGCCUGGUAUCGGUGUCUUUGAUCCUGAUCUCAAUGGGGAUGUCUCCCACAAGAGGGAGAAUCACAAACGCCAAGGUCCACGCUGUGGUAGUCUUCGAAUCCAUAGAGGCUUGUGUUAGCGAUAUUUGAGAGUCCGAUAAGGAUCCAGUGUUUACUGUCGAAGAGGCCGCGUCUCCGGAUAGUGUUUAUCGAGGGUGGCAGAGGGAGUAUAGUAUUUUUCUACAGCCAUUUAUCUUCUAGAUGGGCUUUCCCCUUGCUAAUUGUUAUGCUCUUCAAUUUCCAGAUAUUUUCUUUGGGUGGUGCCUAAACAGUUUUAAAGGGAAGGCGGUUUUGGUUUGAUGUUUGGUUCCCUUUGCUCAAUUAAAUCAGCUUUUUGUUGUGGAUAUUGCUUUUUGUCUCGUCCUGUGACAGGGGAUCUUAAGAAGUUCUUGUUCUAGCAUUGUGUCAUUGGGGAUGUGAAUGCCAGAGGAUCAUUAGACUAGAGAGAGUUGAAACCAUUUUCUGGUGAUAUCAUGCAAUGCUGGGCUUAUCUUGAGCAUUUCAGGCUUUGGUUUUUUGUUCAUCUCCAUUUAUUUGACAUAUAACGCAUAGUUUUUGGCAAUUUGAUUGAAGUUUUGAGGAGAUUGUGCUAAUUUCUUCCUUGGUAAGGCUCUUGAUAAAUAAUUAGUCUGUAAUUUUCAUCAAGAUCUGAUUUAGUGGCUUUCAGUUGGAGCUAAAAGGUUUAUGUAGGGGACCAUGAGGUUGAAAGGGGUUUCAUGAGUCUUACAGGUCUGCAGGAAAAUUGGUUUUCUUUUAAAACCAUUCUAUGCUCUAUAUAUUUUUCUAUGGUUAUAUCGUGUUUAGUUUAUCUCCGGAACACACUCAUGCUGGCUAUCUACUGUCAUGGUCUUCUUUUGAAAUUAUUCAACUCAGGUGUUCAACUUAUGUCUGGUUUCCUCGAUCACACGAAUGUGAGUUGUACCUAAGGCAGAUUGUGAGUUGUACUUGCCUGCUAAUAAAACCUGCUGGAUGAUAUUUUGGGUAGCUUCCUUUUAUCUUGCUCAUAAGGCUUUUAUUUGGUUAUGGUUGGUCUUCUAUAUUCUUGGAAGCGUCUGGAGCUCUGCUUAUAAAAUUUUGAUUGGGAGGGUGUUUCGUUUACAUGUGCCUAAGAUGGCGUAGCUUGUAUAUGAUGGGGUGUGAAGAUGGACAUGAAGUACCUCAUCUUGACUGUUCGUUGUGGAUAUACUCUUCUGCUUUCUUGUUUCUCUUGUCAUUAGAAUUUCUUUAGGUAUUAAUUCCAGAAACAUGUUUCGAAUCCUUAGAAAUGACAUUGUAUUUUUCUAGUGUCUUCAUCAUUCACUGCAAACUUGUUUUGAUUGGUGUAUAUUGUUGUUAUAUAUAUAAUGAUUAUUGAUUGGUUUUGUUUGUAAUCCAUCUCUUGAUUGAUGUCUUGGAAGUUGGAUGUUAUAUAAGUUAUGAACUUCUGUUAUAUAUCUAUAUACGAACAAUAUCAGGUGUUUAUAUUUCAAUAUUAGCAUGUUUAUGUUUAUGUGAUACAUAGUUGCUUCACUAUUUGGUGUGAUUCUGUGAGGUAGCGAGUGCUCUGUAUAGAAGAUAUCAUAUAAUUCCAUUUCUAUAUACAUUCAUAUCUUGUGGAAAUACGAUAGGGAAUAUGUUGGGGAGCUUUCUUUUGUAGAGAUCACUAGAUUGUUGCUUCCCUUCUUGCAAUGUACAAGUUCGAUUGAUGUUUAAAUAAUUCAAAUUAGUUGCUCCUCAUAUUUCCUGGUUACUACCCUCUCUUGGCAUUAAUGACAUGCUAUGUUCUCUAUAUUUAAUACAUUUAAGGAACAUAAAUAUUUAACUUGAAUGACAGCUGAUAAAAAUGCAACGAAGUUAUGCCACACCAUGUUUUCUAUGAUGAUAUUUUGAAUUUCUAACUAACUGUCAUCUAUGAGAGCAUUUCUUGUAGUGAUCACCCUAAACUUUUGAAUUUCUAACCAACUGUCGUGAUCAUAAUAACCGUCAUCUAUGAGAGCAUUUCUUGUAGUGAUAUUUAUCUUCCUUAAAUGUGUUAAAUAUAGAGAACAUAGCAUGUCUAAACUAAGUUAUGUCCCUUCUGUUGUUUAACAGUUAUACCUGUUCUUCAUUUUUGUUUUCGGUCUAGGUUGGACUCUCUUAACCUUUUCCCAAUUUUUAUGGUUGAGUCACUGCUAUUGUUUUGAGUCUUUCAUAUGCUAUUUUUACGGAUUUUCAUUUAUGAAAUCUAUUGAAGUGCAGUAAUGACUUGAUUGAAAAUGUCGUUCACUCCUGAGUCCUGACCAUGAAACUAGUAAUUUGACAUAUUUCUUGUGCUCCCGACACGAUAAAACAUUUGGUCUAUGUUCUCUCAUUGCUGAAAUUAGUUUUUUCUUUGUGUUGCGCAGUUUCAUGUAAAUUGUCUAAACUAAGUUACUAAUCCUAUGUUUACAACCUUUUGUUAUUCGUCGAGCUUCAACUUUAUACCUGGGCUAAUUUAACCAUGAAACUAGUAAAAAUUUUGCUGUUUGGUGUUUGUUGAAGUUUAUACUUGUUCCAGCUGGGUGAUUAUGUUGUUUCUUGUGUAAUCUUUCUGUUGCAAGUCUUAAAUUUGUUUCUUGGUCAUCUGAUUACUUGCAUUUUAGCGGUCAGUCAUUUAAAUUUAUGCUGAUUUCAUGUCCAUUGGUGGUUGAGCUCAUUUAAAUUUCAGCUUCUCCUUCCCCGGAUUAUAGGUUAUAGGUAGAGUCGUGUAACUCUGCCUGUGCCAGCCACAGCCGGUCUCAAGCCCGGGAAAAAGAGGAGGGGCGACCAAAUUAUGUAGUAAGGUCUUUUUUAGUAUUACUGAUUAUGAUAUUCUGUGUCACUGAAAGCAAGAAAAUAAAUAGAAUCAAUCAACUUGUCUAGGUUUUGGUGAUUCUCAAGGACUAUUGCUGUAUUAUAUUUACAUACCUCUGAAUCUAAUCCAGAGUUCGUCAAGAUUCUACCAACUUCUCUCAAGGCUCUGCGAAGUUCGAGACUGGUGAUUCCGUCAAGGCCCUUAGCUUCUUGUGGAUUCACAUUGGUCCAAGACAGAAGUCACCAAGCAACAAUGCUCUUGAUGUUAGCAAAGUCUUCAACAAUUUUGUGAUUGUCACUUCCCGUAUGGAGGUUGUAAUCUAGUUUCAUCAUGAUUGUUUCUAAGUUAAUGAAUGUAGGGAGUUUCUGAUUUCAUUAAUCAUCAUCAUUUAAUAAUACGAUUCGUUCCAAGCUGAUUUUCUUUAGUCUUC